GCGGUAAGCUGACUGCGGAGACAUUAUCGAGUUUUUGACGGGUUGUAGCUGGCCUCUUACCGAGGUAAACGUGCACGCCUGGCUCAUUCCACUCUUCAACCUCUGUGCACCUUGUGUAGGAGAUGACCGAGGGGGCCUUCGAAAGUUGGUCUUCAGAGUCUCCCCUACGUUUUUUACUACAAACGCUUCAGUCAAUGAAUGUAAUCUCUGCGAAUAAAACGCAUCUAUAUACAACUUUCAGCAACGGAUCUCUUGGCUCUCGCAUCGAUGAAGAACGCAGCGAAAUGCGAUAAGUAAUGUGAAUUGCAGAAUUCAGUGAAUCAUCGAAUCUUUGAACGCACCUUGCGCUCCUUGGUAUUCCUCGGAGCAUGCCUGUUUGAGUAUCAUGGAAUUCUCAACUCCCAAGUUUCUUACUGAAGCUGUGGUGAGCUUGGACUUGGAGGUCGUGUCGGUCUGCUUCAGUCGACUCCUCUGAAAUACAUUAGCGUGAACCUUACGGAUCACCUUCAACGUGAUAAUUGUCUGCGUUGUGGUUGUGAAGUACUUGUGUGUUCAUGCUUACAGUCGUCUUCUUAUCGGAGACACUUUCUUGACUUCUGAUCUCAAAUCAGGUAGGACUACCCGCUGAACUUAAGCAUAUCAAAAGCCCGGAGGAA
rnacentral:rRNA from 1 species